rnacentral:rRNA from 1 species
AUGCGGGAACCGCCGCCGCCGUCGCCGUCGCCCAGCGCGUCACGCGCGGCCAUGGCGUGCGUGGUGACGUCGGAAGUCGCCACGGUGCUCGCCAUCAUGCGCCGCAACGUCCGCUGGGCAGCCGGCGGCGACGACGACCCCCUCGACCACCCUCUCAUCACGGGCCUCAAGUCCCUCCGCCGCGCCGCGGCUACGUGGAGCCCGCGCCGGUGGCGGGACGUGGAGCCGCUCCUCUACCUCGGCCCCUUCCUCGACGUCGUCCGCUCCGACGAGGCCGGCGCGCCCGCCACGGGCGCCGCGCUCUCGUCCCUCCACAAGGUGCUCUCCCUCGACCUCGUCGGCCCCGACGCGCCCGGCGCGGACCGGGCCAUGGCCGCUGUCGUGGAGGCCGUCGCGGGGUGCCGCUUCGAGGUCACCGACGCGGCGUCGGAGGAGGCCGUCCUGGCCAGGGCGCUGCAGGUGCUGCUCGCCUGCGUGCGCGGCCGCGCGGCGCCCGCGCUCUCCAACCGCCACGUGUGCGACAUUGUCAACACUUGCAGGCUGACUCGCUCUUGA